UGCGCCAAGCUGCCUGGCUCCUCCUCUUCUCCCCAGAGUUCCAAGCACCCGCCUCUCUCCCAAGCGCUCCCCGCCGCACCCGAGCCCUUGCUCCGCGUACUCCUCCUUAACCAGAAGGAAAACUGACCCCGACGGGCUCCAAGGGGCGGUGUCCUACAGGGAACCCAGGCCAGAGCCUGACUCCGCAGUGAGGAAGCGUUCAAACCAUUCCAGGUCAGAGCUCCGAGAAUAUUUGCAGCGAGAAAACUAAACUAGUGAGCUAACGCCAUUGACUUCACCAAACUUAGAAUACCGAAAUCCAGACAAAAAGCAAAAAAAAAAAAAAAGCAAAAAAAAAACCCAAACAAACCCGAAUUUCACAGCAUCAAGUCACCAGCAGCUGCUAGGACCUUAGUUUCCUUCCUGCGAACCGGAAUCCUGUGCUAAAACCCCCCACCCCCCGGUCUGAUUAUUUAUUUGUUAUUCUUAAAGACUAUUUUUGACUGGACUCAAGAGUAGAAGCUCUCGGCGAAAACAGCCCCGCAUCACUUGGCGAUCUGUUCCUGGAGUUUUUCUUUGGCUUCCUUCAUUUUCUCGGCCAGAAGUUUAGCAUAUUCUACAGCCUCCUCCUGGUUUCCGUAGUGCCCGUGCGAAGCUUGCCUUCAUCGUCCGCCUCGGUGAGAUACCGACAACCGGCGGCCGGGAAGGGGAUUUUCAGCCUCAUCUUGACAUGGCCAGGAAUUCACUUCCAGUUUUCUUUCAACACAGGCACCUCUCCCGCCUCAGCCUUCCGAAUACUGAGAUUACAGGCACGCGCCACCACGCCUGGCUCAAAAAUGUCAUUAUAAAUCGUUGCUAAGUACAAUAAUACAUGGGGUGAACAAACAAACGAAAGACAGCCACCACCCAGGCAUUUUAGUGUUAAGUUCGGACAACAUCACGGACUUACACUAAAGUACGAACUGCUUUGUAUCUGGCAAUCUCAUGGCCAGAGUAUCACUGCUUUGCAGAUUCCUCUGAAACCACACUCAGAAAGGUGUCGGGCAGAGGCAGGAGGCUGGAAGCAUUUCCAGAUAGACCCCGACUCUUUAAACCACUCCCACCAACACGUCGUGCACUCCGGAAGGCCGCAGCCAAGUGGACCUCAGCAGACGCUGGGAGUUUGGGGCCACUUUCCCAGAAUUUGCAGGGGAAGCAGCUUAGUGCUCACCCGGCUUCCCGACACCUGGUCGCGGCUCGGCGCAGUGACUAAGACUGAACGCUAGGAGGCACCCGAGAUCCACGGAACUCAGAAGCCAGGAGGCUAAAUAAAAUCCUGCCUUCCUUCCUUCCUUUUUAAAUAAAUUUUCUUAAUGGAGUGGA